rnacentral:rRNA from 1 species
UAGGGAAUCUUCGGCAAUGGGGGCAACCCUGACCGAGCAACGCCGCGUGAGUGAAGAAGGUUUUCGGAUCGUAAAGCUCUGUUGUAAGAGAAGAAAGUGUGUGAGAGUGGAAAGUUCACACAGUGACGGUAACUUACCAGAAAGGGACGGCUAACUACGUGCCAGCAGCCGCGGUAAUACGUAGGUCCCGAGCGUUGUCCGGAUUUAUUGGGCGUAAAGCGAGCGCAGGCGGUUUAAUAAGUCUGAAGUUAAAGGCAGUGGCUUAACCAUUGUUCGCUUUGGAAACUGUUAAACUUGGGUGCAGAAGGGGAGAGUGGAAUUCCAUGUGUAGCGGUGAAAUGCGUAGAUAUAUGGAGGAACACCGGUGUCGAGAGCGGCUCUCUGGUCUGUAACUGACGCUGAGGCUCGAAAGCGUGGGGAGCAAACAGG